rnacentral:rRNA from 1 species
CCUACGGGAGGCAGCAGUGAGGAAUAUUGGUCAAUGGACGAGAGUCUGAACCAGCCAAGUAGCGUGAAGGAUGACUGCCCUAUGGGUUGUAAACUUAGUUUAUAUGGGAAUAAAAUGUUCCACGUGUGGGAUUUUGUAUGUACCAUAUGAAUAAGGAUCGGCUAACUCCGUGCCAGCAGCCGCGGUAAUACGGAGGAUCCGAGCGUUAUCCGGCUUUAUUGGGUUUAAAGGGAGCGUAGGUGGAUUGUUAAGUCAGUUGUGAAAGUUUGCGGCUCAACCGUAAAAGUGCAGUUGAAACUGGCAGUCUUGAGUACAGUAGAGGUGGGCGGAAUUCGUGGUGUAGCGGUGAAAUGCUUAGAUAUCACGAAGAACUCCGAUUGCGAAGGCAGUUCACUGGACUGCAACUGACACUGAGGCUCGAAAGUGUGGGUAUCAAACAGGAUUAGAUACCCUGGUAGUC